rnacentral:lncRNA from 10 species
UCAUUGCAGAGAUAUGUCACAAUGUCCCCAUAGGCAAAUCCAAGACAAGCGUUCGUCACCUGGGUGAUCAUUGCAGAAAUAUGUGACAAUGCCCUCAGGAGGCGGAGCCUACAGAAGAGUCCAAUCACCUGCGUGAUCAGUGCAGAGAUAUUUCACAAUGCCCCUGCAGGCAGAGUGUAAGCAAGAGUUACAUCACCUAGAUGAUCAGUGCAGAGAUAUGUCACAAGGCCCCCUAUACGCAGAGUCGGACAAGAGUUACAUCACCUCAGUGAUCAAUGCAGUGAUAUGUCACUAUGCCCCGUAGGCAGAGCCUAGUCAAGCGUUACAUCACCUGGGUGAUUACUGCAGAGAUAUGUCACAAAGUCCCCAUACACAGAGCCUAGACAAGAGUCCCAUCACCUGGGUGAUCAGUGCAGAAAUAUGUCACAAUGCCCCUAUAGGCCGAUCGAAGACAAGAGUCCUUCACCUGGGUGAUCAGUGCAGAAAUAUGUCACAAUGCCCCCUUAGGCAGAGCCUAGAUAAAAGCCCCAUCACCUGGAUGAUCAGUGCAGAGUUAUGUCACAAAUUCCCUUUAGGCAGAUCCUAGAGAAAGGUUACAUCACUUGGAUGAUCAGUGCAGAGAUAUGUCACUAUGCUACAGUAGGCAGAGCCUAGACUAGAGUUACAUGACCUCGGUGAUCAGUGCAGAGAUACAUCGCAAUGUCCCUGUAGGCAGAGCCUUGACAAGUGGUACAUCACCUGGGUGAUCAUUGCAGGGAUAUGUCACAAAGCACCCUGUAGGCAAAGCCCAGACAAUUGUUACAUCACCUGGGUGAGCAGUGGAGAGAUCUGUCACAAUGCCCCUGUAGGCAGAGCUUAGACAAGGGUUACAUCACCUGGGUGAUCAGUGCAGAGAUAUGUCAAAACGCUCCUGUAGGCUGAACCUAGACAGGAGUUACAUCACCCAGGUGGUCAGUGCAGAGACAUGUGAGAAUUCCCAUGUAGGCAGAGCCUAGACAAGUGUAAUAUCACCUAGGUUAUCAGUGCAGGUAUAAGUCAUAAAGCCUCCUGUAGGCAGAGCGUAGACAAGAGUUCCCUCACCAGGGUGAACAGUGCAGAGAUGUGUCACAAAGCCCCGUAGGCAGAGCCUAGACAAGAGUUUCAUCACUUGGUUGAUCAGUUCAGAGAUGUGUGACAAUGUCCAUGUAGGCAGAUCUAAGACAAGAGUCCAUCACCUGGGUGUUCAGUGCAGAGAUAUGUACCAAUGCCCCUGUAGGCAGUGCCUAGACAAGAGUUGCAUCACCUCAGAGAACAGUGCAUAGGUAUGUCACAAAGCCUUCUGUAGGUAAAGCCCAUACAAGGCUUACAUCACCUAG